CUUGGUCAUUUGAGAAACUGCAGUCACGUUAAAAUUUAAAGUACAUAUUUUCCAUCCUCAAACUACACUUCCAGUGAGUCCCAGGUAGAAUAAGACUCCAACUGAGGCAAAGUUGUCUAUGCGCCACGAACGAGGGACGAUUGAUUGUGUUAGCAAGCAGACGCAUGCUUAAUCUGCUGCAGACUAGUUACGCCAAGCCUCUUUCCUUGAGAUCACCAACACUAGUGGGUUUAGGUAAAGCUCUCAGCAGCUGGUAUGAAUCUUUUUACCCAAAACAAGUAGGAUUGAUCAGUGACAACUGAGGAAACAUUAAAAACACUACAUUGAGAUACUGUGGAAAGGCAUCUAGUCACACAUUUAGGUACCUUUGCAAAAGUCCAAUUAAUAGUCAUGGCAGACUGUGCGGUAGUACUUUAUUGAAUUUUAGAAAGAUGCCAGGACAAACUACUUUGAGAAAAUAACCAGGAACCUGUGAACAGAAUUAUGCAAAUUAGCAAUGCAUUCAUCUCAACAGAAGCAAAUUCUCAUUUAAAACAGUAAUUUAAAGCCAAAACUUGCCAUAAGGUCAAUGUUUUCCAUUUUACAAAAGGCACCAGUGGAGGCUACCACCUUGGAUGGUCCAGCAAUGCCGUUGAAAUUGGCCUUCUUGGAUCAACAUUCAAUUUGGCAGGCUGGACUAAAGAAUCAGAAAACAAGUCCCACAUGCCAGCUUUGGUUUGAAUAACUCCUUUCUGGUGCUUGGGCUUCUGUGGUUGGGAGACACGCUUGAAGGAGGGCGGCUGCUGGGGCCUCGGGGGCGGCUGCUGGGGCCUCGGCCGGUAACCAUCAUCGAAAGUGGGCUGCUGGGGCCUCUGGGGCGGCUGCUGGGGCCUCUGGGGCGGCUGCUGGGGCCUCGGCCGGUAACCAUCAUCGAAAGUGGGCUGCUGGGGCCUCUGGGGCGGCUGCUGGGGCCUCUGGGGCGGCUGCUGGGGCCUCUGGGGCGGCUGCUGGGGCCUCGGCCGGUAACCAUCAUCGAAAGUGGGCUGCUGGGGCCUCUGGGGCGGCUGCUGGGGCGGCUGCUGGGGCCUCGGCCGGUAACCGUCAUCGAAAGUGGGCUGCUGGGGCCUCUGGGGCGGCUGCUGGGGCCUCGGCCGGUAACCAUCAUCGAAAGUGGGCUGCUGGGGCCUCGGUCGGUAACCAUCAUCGAAAGUGGGGUGUUGGGGCUGCUGGGGCCUCGGCCGGUAACCGUCAUUGAAAGUGGGCUGCUGGGGCCUCGGGGGCGGCUGCUGGGGCCUCGGCCAGUAACCAUCGAAAGUGGGCUGUUGGGGCCUCGGCCAAUUCUGCUGGUAGACCUGAUGGAGAGUGGUUGGUUUGUGGGGGCUGGGCUGGUUCGGCUGGUAGGUCGGAUCAAAAGUAGAUGGCUGGUAGUCGGGCUGCUGGGGAUUAGAGGGCGGAGGACCAGAUUGCAUAAUAAUUGCACUACUUGAGGCAAUACCAGACUCAAUGCUUUCUCCACUUUGUGGAGGGACCCAGUUCUCAGCUUGGGUCCAGAAGAUGUCAUUUGCAUUAGUGUUAGUUUGAGGUGGCUGCUGAGAGUUCUUUGGAGAUUUCCUAAGGAUCUGUGAGCUAGGGACGUAACUAGAAACACUUCCAUCUCGACUGUAACCAUCUACUGGCCCAUUUCCACUCUGGGUACCCAGAAAUCCUCCAGGCUGUGCAGAGCUCUCAUAUUGAGACACAAAAGCAGGGCUCCGUCUUCUGGGAUAAGAAAAGAGAGGCCCAAUGCCACUGAUGCCUUCACUUUUGUCACGCAGUGCU
ensembl:lncRNA